GCAUGCAGGUUAUUGUUUGUGUCUGAGUAGUUUGGUGUUUAUUUGCCAAGGGAGGCUGUGGAAUGUUAUGGUAUUUUUGUCCCAAUAUUUGGAGGCAGUUCCCUGGAUUAGAUGAUUUCUGCGUUGCUCCCUGGUGUCUAAGUUGUGAGGUGUACUAAGAACUGGUAGUUUUUGCAGUGGGAUGUACCCUAGAAACUCCAUGGAGCUGAGCCAAGGGAUUUAGAGGGACUAAGCAAGCGAAGUAAAGAAAGAAUGAAGAAGGGAACUGAGAGAGCAGCCAAGCAGCACCAAGUUCCUCUACAACCAGGGAAUAACUCCUGUCAGCAGCAAGGUCCUGACUGAAGUGGCAGCUGCAGUUGUUCCUGUUGUGUGGGCCAGUGGACUUCCAGGAGGGUGGAAGAGGGCAGAACCUGACGUGAAUGCAAGAACCUGCCAAGGAACCAAUGACCAAGAUGAUUGAUGAGUGCAGGACCUGAGAGAAGCACCUUGAAUGACAACCUCGAGCAGUUUCCAGUAUUGGAUUGCAAAGAUGGCCUUUGCUGCAUCUCCUUGAGCAAGGAAAGCCAGGAUACCUUUGCUUUGGAAGG